GUAAGCCUAGUGCAAAUUGCAAAAACCCAUGGAGGGGGCCCCUGACUGCAGCUGAGGCUGGGUGGGGCUCAUGGGGGUGUGGGGAGGACAGCCUCCAGACGGGGACACUCUCUACCACAGCACUUUGUCAGCAGCAAAAAAUCACCUCCUCUGGGCAGGGCCCAGACCAUCAGCUGGCCACGCCUGCGCGAGGGCCAGGCGGAAAUGGGCCUUCACGUAAUGGCAGUGGACGGUGACUUCACACCUCCCACCAGGAAGCAGAUGGCUCAGUCGGCAGCCCUGCAGGUGGAGCCGGCUGAUCAGGUCAAGGUAACACCCUGGAAGACACAGGCUUUGGAGUCCCACCAAGAAAUCUCAGCCCCUGUCCCUGAGUGUGAGGGAGCAGCCAGCAAGCCCUUGGGGAAAUGAUACAGAAAGAAUAUAUUUUCCUUCAAAAACAAAGACAGGCAUGUCUAGUGUCAACACUAUAAAACUCUCUGGAACUAGGGGUCCUGCAAUGUUGGUACCAAGACAAUGAUUCCAGCCUCCGUUGUAGCUGAUGCUCGGUGAGACUUUUGAGAUGUUACUUGUACAGCAUAUACAAGGAUAUAAGUCACCUAACAUAUAGUUGGGGCUCAAUAAAAUAACUCCUUUUUGACAAGGAAGGAGAGGAAGUCAAAUGUGUCCUCCAAGGUGGAAGUGUCAUAUCUGAGGGCUCCAUAGGCCUUGAGUCAUUUUGUCCACGUCAGCCAUUCUCAAAGGCUGUACGUGGCAAACCUGUGGGUCAUUUCCAGUUGUCACAUUGACCGGGGCUUUACUGACACUUAGCGUGAAGGAGCCAUCGUGCAGAGUGGGACUCUCAACAAAAACUGCUUCAUUUCACAAACACACAUCCCCCUGGACAUUCAUGUAGGUGGGAAAACCCAUUUUCUUUUCCUUUUUUCUUUUUAUGGCUGCACUUGCAGCAUAUGGAAAUUCCCGGGCCAGGGGUCCAUUGGAGCUGCAGCUGCUGGCCUACGCCAUAGCUUAUGACAACGCCAGAUCCUUAACCCACUGAGCAAGGUCAGGGAUCAAACCUGCAUCCUCAUGGAUACUAGUCAGGUUCUUAACCUGCUGAGCCACAAUGGGAACUCCUAUGCCUGAGUCUUUAAAAAUAC
rnacentral:lncRNA from 9 species